rnacentral:rRNA from 1 species
UUGUUGGUAAGGUAAAAGCUUACCAAGGCUUCGAUCAGUAGCUGGUCUGAGAGGACGACCAGCCACACUGGGACUGAGACACGGCCCAGACUCCUACGGGAGGCAGCAGUGGGGAAUUUUGGACAAUGGGGGCAACCCUGAUCCAGCCAUGCCGCGUGAGUGAAGAAGGCCUUCGGGUUGUAAAGCUCUUUCAGCCGGAACGAAACGGUUACGGUUAACACCCGUGACUACUGACGGUACCGGAAGAAGAAGCACCGGCUAACUACGUGCCAGCAGCCGCGGUAAUACGUAGGGUGCGAGCGUUAAUCGGAAUUACUGGGCGUAAAGCGUGCGCAGGUGGUUUUGUAAGUCAGAUGUGAAAGCCCCGGGCUCAACCUGGGAACUGCGUUUGAAACUACAAGACUAGAGUGUGGCAGAGGGGGGUGGAAUUCCGCGUGUAGCAGUGAAAUGCGUAGAGAUGUGGAYGAACACCGAUGGCGAAGGCAGCCCCCUGGGUCAACACUGACGCUCAGGCACGAAAGCAUGGGGAGCAAACAGGAUUAGAUACCCUGGUAGUCCAUGCCCUAAACGAUGUCAACUAGUUGUCGGGCCUUUACGGGCUUGGUAACGUAGCUAACGCGUGAAGUUGACCGCCUGGGGAGUACGAUCGCAAGAUUAAAACUCAAAUGAAUUGACGGGGACCCGCACAAGCGGUGGAUUAUGUGGAUUAAUUCGAUGCAACGCGAAAAACCUUACCUACCCUUGACAUGUAUCGAAGCCCGCAGAAAAGCGGGGGUGCCCGAAAGGGAACGAUAACACAGGUGCUGCAUGGCUGUCGUCAGCUCGUGUCGUGAGAUGUUGGGUUAAGUCCCGCAACGAGCGCAACCCUUGUCAUUAAUUGCCAUCAUUUAGUUGGGCACUUUAAUGAGACUGCCGG